GAUGAAGAACGUAGCAAAAUGCGAUAAGUAAUGUGAAUUGCAGAAUUCAGUGAAUCAUCGAAUCUUUGAACGCACAUUGCGCCCGCUGGUAUUCCGGCGGGCAUGCCUGUUCGAGCGUCAUUUCAACCCUCAAGCCCCCGGGUUUGGUGUUGGGGAUCGGCUCUGCCCUUCUGGGCGGUGCCGCCCCCGAAAUACAUUGGCGGUCUCGCUGCAGCCUCCAUUGCGUAGUAGCUAACACCUCGCAACUGGAACGCGGCGCGGCCAUGCCGUAAAACCCCAACUUCUGAAUGUUGACCUCGGAUCAGGUAGGAAUACCCGCUGAACUUAAGCAUAUCAAUAAGCGGACGA
rnacentral:misc_RNA from 1 species